rnacentral:lncRNA from 10 species
GAAUCGCUUGAAUCCGGGAGGCGAAGGCUGCAGUGAGCCAAGAUCACACCACUGCACUCCAGCCUGGGCGACAGAGCGAGACUCUGUCUCAAAAAUACAUACAUACAUACAUACAUACAUACAUACAUACAUACAUACAUACAUACCUUCAAUAAUAAACCACAUUUACUCUACAGUAUUCAGAGAUUCUGAAUUCCACUAAUUUUUUGUGCCUCCCCCUUCCCCUUUCUCCAGUGUACAGCACAAUUCAUUGCACAUGCUAGGUGCUCAAAACAGAUGUGUUGAAUCAGUCAAAUAAAUAAACGAAUAAAAUACAUACACUUCUGCACAUGUUUUAGUUCUUCUGAUCUUCUAUUUCUUCAGCUAUAAUGUGGGGAUGAUGUUAUUUUGUGGGUUUGUUUUCAAGAUUAAAUAAUAUAGCAUACCUUAUACAAUAUGUAAAAUGUCAAAUGCUAUGCUCAAAGGUACUAGUGGAAUUUUAAGUCUGCAGGUAUCUUUCAGAUUUUAAAAAAUCAGUACCAAAAGCUAUAGGUGGGAUGAGUUAAUUAAUCUCAAACACAUUUAAAUUAACAGGAAGAAAGAAAUAGGGCAUGGUAGGAGGAGAGAAAGGAGGACAGUUAGGGAUAUAGUGAAUACUUUUAAAGUCAGUUGAAUUAUUUCAUACGGGAUAAUUUUUCUUGUCACAGUAAAUCACCCUGUGCCCCACCCCCGCUCCAGGAAGGCAGGGAGGUUGUAAAGGAGAAGCGAGAAGAGGGUUAAUUUGAGCUCCCUCCUGCCUGCUGCAGUCACAGUGCAUGAUAGAGUAAUGAAGGUGACGCCGCCACAUAUCUCAUCUGAACUUCCUCUGUGGUCUUUUUCAUAUUAAAGUCUUUCACUGUUACAGGACUGUGCUUGGAAAAGUUGGGAAACUUUUCCCUUGGUGGAGAAAAAGAAGCCCUCGUCAGACGCAAUCCAACAAAUGAAUGGAGUUAUUUCCUUGGCCCAACAUGUCCAUCCACUAGCACACCAAAUAUUCAUAGAAACAUCUUUCCUCACUUCCAAGGCCGGAAUUGUACUCUCCCGUGGCGUUGCCUAGUAUCGCAGAUUUCGAAAGUGAGCAGGCAACAGACUUGGCUUUCGAGCCAAUUCUAGGAGUCGAUGCGACUUACUGUCCUGUGUGGUAGCUUCUCCCGGGAGCAGAAAGUGUAAAAUAAACAGCUGCUGAAAAGCAUGAAGAAUUAACGAAGUGAAAAUCUCGAGUUAUUUGUUCGGCAAUUGACACGUAAGUGACCUCCUUAAAUGCCUAGUUAUUUAAGGACGUUUAGAACGAGGAUGAAUGAAUCUUCAGGGCGGUUAAUUCGCACCGGCGUGUAAAUUUCUUUAGUCUUUCGGGAAGUGGCGGUAAAUUCAUACAAAUCCAGCAGGGAGGGAAGAGAAGGGAGUAAAACCACGAUCUCGGAGCGCUCUUCUCAGUCCUUUGGAAAGACUUGCCUUUACUGCCCGGAACCCUGGAGGUUACAGCUGGGCGAACCCGGAGGCGCUAGGACCUCGUCAGCGCCUGGCUG